rnacentral:lncRNA from 1 species
GUUUAGUAGUCUCCUCACACUGACGCGCAUGAAAUUUGGUGCCGUGACUCGGAUCAGGGGACUUCCCUUAGGAGAUCAAUCCCCUGUCCUCCUGCUCUUUGCUCCGUGAGAAAGAUCCACCUAUGACCUCAGGUCCUCAGACCGACCAGCCCAAGAAACAUCUCACCAAUUUCAAAUACAGACCCCACUGAAAACUGGACUGUUCAACUCACCUGGCAGCCACUUCCAGAGCUCCUGGAACUCUAGCCCAAGGCUCUCUGACUCUUUCCCAGAUCUUCUCGGCUUAGCAGCUGAAGACUGACACUGCCGGAUCGCCUCAGAAGCCUGCAGGACCAUCACAGACGCUCUAGGUAACUCUCACAGUAGAAGGUAAGUCCGUCCGCUUCUUAAUACGGAGGCUACCCACUCCACAUUACCUUAUUUUCAAGGGCCUGUUUCCCUUGCUUCCAUAACUGUUGUGGGUAUUGACGGCCAGGCUUCUAAACCUCUUAAAACUCCCCAACUCUGGUGCCAACUUAGACAAUACUCUUUUAAGCACUCCUUUUAGUUAUCCCCACCUGCCCAGCUCCCUUAUUAGGCCGAGACACUUUAACUAAAUUAUUUGCUUCCCUGACUAUUCCUAGGCUACAGCCACACCUCAUUGCUGCCUUUUCCCCCAGUUCAAAGCCUCCUUCACAUCCUCCCCUUGUAGCUCCCCACCUUAACCUGCAAGUAUAAGACAUCUCUACUCCCUCCUUAGCGACCGAUCAUGCACCCCUUACCAUCCCAUUAAAACCUAAUCACCCUUACCCCGCUCAAUGCCAAUAUCCCAUCCCACAGCAUGCUUUGAAAGGACUAAAGCCUGUUAUCACUCACCUGUUACAGCAUGGCCUUUUAAAGCCCAUAAACUCUCCUUACCAUUCCCCCAUUUUACCUGUCCUAAAACCAGACAAGGCUUACAGGCUAGUUCAGAAUCUGCGCCUUAUCAGCCAAAUUGUUUUGCCUAUCCACCCCAUGGUGCCAAACCUAUAUACUCUCCUCAAUACCUCCCUCUACAACCCAUUAUUCUGUUCUAGAUCUCAAACAUGCUUUCUUUAUUGCACCCUUCAUCCCAGCCUCUCUUCGCUUUCGCUUAGACUGACCCUGACACCCAUUAGGCUCAGCAAAUUACCUGGGCUGUACUGCCGCAAGACUUCACAGAUAGCCCCCAUUACUUCAGUCAAGCCCAAAUUUCUUCCUCAUCUGUUGCCUAUCUCAGCAUAAUUCUCGUAAAAACACACGUGCUCUCCCUGCUGAUCGUGUCCGAUUAAUCUCCCAAACCUCAAUCCCUUACAAAACAACAACUCCUUUCCUUCCUAGGCAUGGUUAGUGCGGUCAGAAUUCUUACACAAGAGCCAGGACCGCACCCUGUAGCCUUUCUGUCCAAACAACUUGACCUUACUGUUUUAGCCUAGCCCUCAUGUCUGCAUGCAGCGGCUGCCGCUGCUUUAAUACUGUUAGAGGCCCUAAAAAUCACAAACUAUGCUCAACUCACUCUCUACAUUUCUCAUAACUUCCAAAAUCUAUUUUCUUCCUCACACCUGACGCAUAUACUGUCUGCUCCCUGGCUCCUUCAGCUGUACUCACUCUUUGUUAAGUCCCACAAUUACCAUUGCUCCUGGCGCAGACUUCAAUCUGGCCUCCCACAUUCUUCUAGAUACCACACCUGACCCCCAUGACUGUAUCUCUCUGAUCCACCUGACAUUCACCCCAUUUCCCCAUAUUUCCUUCUUUCCUGUUCCUCCCCCGAUCACGCUUGAUUUAUUGAUGGCAGUUCCACCAGGCCUAAUCGCCACACCAGCAAAGGCAGGCUAUGCUAUAGUACAAGCCACUAGCCCGCCUCUUAGAAUCUCUCCUCAUUUUCUUUCCAUUGUGGAAAUCUAUCAUCAAGGAAAUAACUUCUCAGUGUUCCGUCUGCUAUUCUACUACUCCUCAGGGAUUAUUCAGGCCCCCUUCCUUCCCUACACAUUAAGCUCCAGGAUUUGCCCCACCCAGGACUGGCAAAUUAGCUUUACUCAACAUGCCCCGAGUCAGAUAACUAAAAUACCUCUUAGUCUAAGUAGACACUUUCACUAGAUAAGUACAGGCCUUUCCUACAAGGUCUGAGAAGGCCACCGCAGUCAUUCCUUCCCUUCUGUCAGACAUAAUUCCUCAGUUUAGCCUUCCCACCUCUAUAUAGUCUGAUAACAGACCAGCCUUUAUUAGUCAAAUCAGCCAAGCAAUUUUUCAGGCUAUUAGUAUUCAGUGAAACCUUUAUAUCCCUUAUGGUCCUCCGUCUUCAGGAAAAGUAGAAUGGACUAAAAGUCUUUCAAAAACACACCUCACCAAGCUCAGCCACCAACUUAAAAAGGACUGGACAAUACUUUUACCACUUUGCCUUCUCAGAAGUCAGACCUGUCCUCAGAAUGCUACAAGGUACAGCCCAUUUGAGCUCCUGUAUGGUUGCUCCUUUUUAUUAAGCCCCAGUCUCAUGCCAGACACCAGACCAACUUAGACUGUGCCCCCAAAAAACUUGUCAUCCCUACUAUCUUCUGUCUAGUCAUACUCCUAUUCACCGUUCUCAACUACUCAUACAUGCCCUGCUCUUGUUUACACUGCCGGUUUACACUGUUUCUCCAAGACAUCACAGCUGAUAUCUCCUGAUGCUAUCCCCAAACUGCCACUCUUAACUCUUGAAGUAAAUAAAUAAUCUUUGCUGACAGGACUAUGCUGAAUCUCCUUAGGCACUCUCUAAUUAGAUGUCCUAGGUCCUCCCAAUUCUUAGACCUUUAAUACCUGUUUUUCUCCUUCUCUUACUCCGUUUAGUUUUUCAAUUCAUACAAAACUGUAUCCAGGCCAUCACCAAUAAUUCUAAAUGACAAAUGUUUCUUCUAACAGUCUCACAAUAUCACCCCUUACCACAAAAUCUUCCUUCAGCUUAAUCUCUCCCACUCCCACUCUAAGUUCCCAUGCCGCCCCUAAUCCCGUUCAAAGCAGCCCUGAAAAACAUCGCCCAUUAUCUCUCCAUACCACCCCCAAAAAUUUUCACUGUCCCAACACUUUACCACUAUUUUGUUUUAUUUUUCUUAUUAAUAUAAGAAGACAGGAAUGUCAGGCCUCUGAGCCCAAGCUAAGCCAUCAUAUCCCCUGUGACCUGCACGUAUACAUCCAGAUGGCUGGUUCCUGCCUUAACUGAUGACAUUCCACCACAAAAGAAGUGAAAAUGGCCUGUUCCUGCCUUAACUGACGACAUUGUCUUGUGAAAUUCCUUCUCCUGGCUCAUCCUGGCUCAAAAGCUCCCCUACUGAGCACCUUGUGACCCCCCACUCUGCCCGCCAGAGAACAACCCCCCUUUGACUAUAAUUUUCCUUUACCUACCCAAAUCCUAUAAAACGGCCCCACCCUUAUCUCCCUUCGCUGACUCUCUUUUUGGACUCAGCCCACCUGCACCCAGGUGAUUAAAAGCUUUAUUGCUCACACAAAGCCUGUUUAGUAGUCUCUUCACACAGAUGCGCAUGAAAAUCACAAGUAUGCCUAAGUUGAAAAACUACAUUUUCAUAAAAAUAACAAAAAAUUAUAAAACAAAGCAGACUUGAAAGAACAAGGGUGGGUAGAUAUGAAAGGAAGAAAAACAAAACAGAAUGAAACAUAGUUAAUUGUGCUAAAGACUCAAUAGAUAAAAUGAAUUGAAAUCUGGAUACAUUUGAAUAAAGAAUUUGUGAAUCAGAAAACAGUGUUGAAGAAUUUAACCUGAAUAUUACACAGAUACUGAUAUCAAAUAUAACAGAACAGUCACAAUAAGGUUGAGGAAUAAACAGGCAUAAUGUGAAUUACAUGAGAAAAAAGAGAGUGGGAAGUUGAAGAGGCAAUAUUUAAGAAAAUAUUGAACAUUUUCCAUAAUUGACAAAAGACAUGAGUCUUCAAAACAAAGCACACUUUGAGACUGAGCAAGAGAAAUAAAAUUAUACCCACCUUUAGACAUAUUGCAGUGGAAUUGAAGAGCAGCAAGAAUAAAGAGAAAAUAUCUUAAAAGCUACCAAAUAAAAAAGACGAUACAACAAAACAAUUAGAAAGCAGACUUCUCAUUAACAAUAGUUGCGAGGAGACAAUGGAGUAACGUAUUCAAGCUAGAAAUUUAUGUGCAUAUACAUUCUUAUUCAAGAGUGAAGGAAAAAUCAGAUUUACAAAGGCUAUACUUAUGAUCCAGACCCUUGUUGAAAGAAAUAUUACAAUAUAUACAUUAUCAAGAAGAGAAGUGAACACAGAGGGAAUGCUUAAGAUGUGUGAAAUCACAAUGAACAAAUAAAUUGGUAAAAUAUGCCAGUAAGUUUAAUGACGGAAAAAAGUAAUUGUUUUGUAUCAACCAAAGUAAAACUAAAUUUCAAAGCAACAAUAAAAUGAUCGAGUUGUUCAAUGGAUAGUUAGAGCAUGCUAAAAUCUUUGCCUUUGGAAGGAAGAUAAAUAAAACUGGUUAACAUUGUAUUGUUUAGAAAAUGUAUAUGUAAAUAUGUUUUUAAAAGUUGAUGAGUUCUAAAAAAAAUAAAAUAAAUAUAAAUUAGUUAAAUUCACCCAGUAAAAGACAUAAACUAUCAGAUUAGAGUAAAAAUGAAAACCAAAUCUGCCACCUUAAUUUAUAAGAGAAACUCCUAAAAUAAACCCAUAUAUAAAGGGUUAAAAUAAAGACCUGAAAAAAGUACAUCAGAUCAAUAUUAACCAAAUUAAAACUUGGAUAGCAAUGGCAAUAUAUAAAAAGUGAUUAAUUUUUGUCUGUUUUUAUUAUCAGCCUUCAUUCUUAUUGAACUCUUUUAUUAGUACCUGUAAUUAUUCAUUAUAAUGUCUUAACUUUUUAAGAUAACAUGCAUGUUAAUUGGGGUUAACUUUAUUUCCGUUUCCUCUUUUCAUAUAUAACUUACUUUCCCUGUCUCAUUAAAAUAGUCUUGCACUUUCAUAAUGUUUUAAAAUAUUUACAUUCUGAGGGAACAAAAAUUCUGUGCUAAAGAACUCUCUUCUGUGCUGCCAUUAACCUUUUCAGUAUAAAUUCUACUAUCACAGGCUACAUAGGAGAUGACAGUUUUAACUUAAAACCCAUUGUAAACACAUUAUAUUGAUGACAUAGACUUCACACUGUGUGUGUCUAUUAAAUGAGUCUAUAAACUUCACUAACAGAGUUGCAGGGUGUUUAAGUUUGAAGAUACUGCCUGAUCCAUCGUUUCACAGAGAAAGAAGCUGAGGUUCAGAGGAGGUAAGUGACCUGCCUGACCAUACACAGCUCUAGUUUUAGAGCCCGGACUAGAGCCAUCUGGUGCCCUUUACAUCUAACUUCCUUAGAGAUGCAUUUACCAUGAAGCCACUAAAGCUUAAACUUCAGGGCCCCUCAAUUGCAGAGGCCUCUUCCAUGCCCCUUGCAGAACAUGAGCAAUGUGUUGCCAUGGCCAUAUAGGUUUUGUAAAAUCUGCAAAAGAAAGAUAUUUUAAACAGGAUCAGUUAAGAACACUCUCUUCCCAUUCUGACUUCCCCAUCACACUUCCCCCUCAUUUAAAGGAGCACUGGAGUGGCCAAGGAUAUUGAAUGUGUAUAACUUCAUAUUAUUUUUCCAAAAGAAGCCUCUACAAAACCUGGAUCCACCUCACCUGCAUUUAUAAUGUUAAUAAUACAUGUUAUUGAUUAUUCCAUGACCAUCCAUGAACCUGCUACUUAACGCAGGAAUUUAAACAUAACAAAAACUUACUUUAACUCUGAGUUCUGCCCCUCUCCCAUCCUCCCUCUCCCUCAGAGAUAGCCACUAUACUAAUUUUGUGUUUAUUGUCCCGUUGUCUUUUUGUUUUGUUUUGACACGUCAUUCGCUUUAAUAUAAAUACAUGUUUUGACUUGCACUGAACUUUGUGAAAGAAUAUUGUACUUGGUCUUCACUCAACAUAUUGUUGCAAGUAGUUGUGAUUCAAUCAUUUUCACUGCUGUUUAAUAUUCCAUUGUGUGAAUGUAUCAUAAUUAGUUUACUCAUUCUCCUGUCAAUGGGCAUUUGGGUUGUUUCAAAAAUUUUUGCUAUUUUGAAAGGUGCUGGUACAAAGAUUUUUGUAUAUAUUUUUGAAUAACCAUGUGCAAGAGUUUCCUUUGGGUAAAUACCUUGGAGUAGAAUUGCUGUUUCACAGAGUUUAAACAUGUUCACCUUUAUGAUAUAAUGUUAUGUUGUUUUCCAAAUCAUUUGGAACAAUAUACAAUGUAUGAGUGAUACAUUACAUAAGAGACCUAUUGUUUCAUCUCCUUUUCAAUACUUGAUAUUGUCAGGCUUCCUAUUUUCCCAAUUGUGUGGGUGUAGAAUGGUAUCUUUUUGCAGUCUGGCUUUCGAUUUCUUUAAUUACUAGUUAAGUUGUGCAUCUCUUCAUGUCAUUUGCAAUUCUUACAACAAUCUUGUAAGUUAGGGAUUAUCAUCACAAUGUGAUAGAUAUAGAAAAUAUGACACAGAGAGGUUAAGUAACAUAUCCAAGGUUACCCAGCUAGUAAGUGGUAGACCAAGGAUUCAUACUCAGUGUAAGCAAAGUUCUCACACCAAUUCUGUUAUAUUAACCACCUUAUUUCUUUGCUACAUAUGGUAUGGAAUAAAGAAUCUUGGAGAAGUUGCUGUUCCAGGUCUUGCAAGAUUGAAAACCUAAUCAUUGGUAAGGCUUUCUUUCCACAAGAUUGAAUUAGUAGCCAUUAAUCCACCGAGGCUAAUGUCUGUGCCCUUUGGGUAUUUGAAUUUAUCAAAACAAGUCUCUGCAGAAGUGAAAUGACCUAAUCGAUGUAGUUCUCUGGGUUUGUGAAGUGGGAACAUUAUUCUGUUUGCUUCAUGAUGAAUUAUUGAACUAAUACUUAAAUCAUUCCAUAAGUACAGAGUGAGGCUGAGCAACCAGGAGACACAGAGCUAAGAAAAAGUUGGCUUUUAAUAUCAUUCUCUGAACCAUUAAUCUGUCAGGAAAGAGGAAAAGAUGUCAUAUUUUAUUACAAAGAUGCCUAGAAUAUGCAAUUAAUCUAAUUACAACAGUUAUUAUUAUUUUUUAAAAAAUCAGUGCUUCCUGUGCCCUGGGCUCCAUAAUCCCUCCAGCCCAUGAAGUGACUUAACUGGGGAGAGUGGUGUUUCUAUCCUGGGCUGUUCCCAAGAAGCCACUGUCCAAUCAAGGUGUCUGUGAGACACCUUGAAAGAAAGGGAGCUGUGUGGGACAACCAAUUUUUAUUUGUCUAUCUCUCUGCUCUGCCUCAGGGACAUAGGAACAGAGUAAACAAAUGCUAUAAAUUCCUGCCCUAGGCACUGAUUUUUGAAGGAAUUGAAAAGACAAACAACAACUGUAACCCUGUAGUUUUGGAUGCAAAACUGUCCUAGCUUUAAGGUGUCUUGCAUAUCCUCGGUCCAGAUGCUUUCAAUAACUAGCCAAGAGAUAAAGAAUGAGUUCCUUUGUGGGAAGUUUGAAAAUAAAUAUGUCUGCAUCUUCACUUUGUAAUCUCUGGAAAAGGAUGCUCAUGGGUAUUUAAAGAAGCUGGCUCUGGGCAGCUGAAAAGGCAGGGAGAAAAGCCCACUUCAUUUUUUUAAAAAUAGCUUUAAUGAUAUAUAAUUCAUAUGCUAUAAAAUUUACCUUUUAGAAAUAGACCUGUGACUUUUAGUAUAUUCAUAGAAUUGUACAACCAUCAUCACUAUCUAAUUUUAAAACAUCCUAAUCCCCUCAAAAAGAAAGCUUGUACUGGUUAGCAGUCACUUGUAUAUUCUACGUGGAAGUCCCUUAUCAGAUAAAUGAUUUGCAAAUAUUUUCCCCAUUCUGUGGGUUGCCUUUUCACUUUCUUGAUAUUAUCUUUGAAGCGCAAAAGUUUUUAAUUUUGAUAAGGUUCAAUUUGUCUCUUUUUUUCUGUUGUCACUUAUGCUUUUGGUGUCAUAGCUAAUAAACCGUCAUCUAAUCAUAGGUCAUGAUUUACUUCUACGUUUUCUUAUAAGAGUUUUAUAGUUUUAUCUCUUAUUUUUAGGUCUGUAAUCCAUUUUGAGUUAUUUUUUAUAUAUGAUGUGAGUUAGGACUCCAAAUUUAGUCUUUUGCAUGGAGAUAUCCAGUUGACCCAGCACCAUUUGUUGAAAAGACUAUUAUUUCUCCAUUUAAUUUUCUUAGUAUUAUUGUUGAAAUGAAUUGACCACAAAUAUAAUGGUUAAUUUCUGGACUCUCAGUUCUGUUCCACUGAUCUAUAUAUCUAUUCAUAUGUGAGUAUUACACUAUUUUGAUUACUGUAGCUUUGUAGUAAGUUUUGAAAUCAAGAAAUAUUACUUUUCCAUCUUUGUUCUUUUUCAGAUUUUUUUUCUAUUCUGAGUCCCUUGUACUUCUGAAUGAAUUUUAGAAUCACCUUGUUGAUUUCUUUAAAUCAACUUGAAGGAAAAUUGGCAAUUGCCUUCAAACAGGCAAUUUGGAUUUUGAUAGGGAUUGCAUUAAAUCUGUAAGAUCAAUUUGGGGAGUAUCAUCAUCUUAACAAUAUUAAGCCUUUCGAUCCAUGAACAUGGUCUGUCUUUUAUUUACAUUCUUUCAAUGAUGUUUUGUAGUUUUUGGCAUACAAGUCUUGGGUUUCCUUUGUUAAAUUUGUUCCCAAGUAUUUUAUUCUUUUUGAUGCUAUUAUAAAUGGAGUGGUAUUCUUAAUUUCAUUUUUGGAUUGUUUAUAGCUAGUGUAUAGAAAUAAAAUUGAUUGCUGCAUAUUGAUCUUGUAUCCUGAUCAAGUAUCCUGAUUACUGAACUCAUGUAUUAGUUCUAAUAAUUUUUUGUGGAUCCCUUAGGAUUUUCUAUAUACAAGAUUAUAUCAUCUGCUAAUAGAGAUAGCUUUACAUCUUCCUUUUCAAACUGGAUGCCUUUAUUUCUUUUCCUUGCCUAACUGCUCUGGCUAGAACCUCCACUACAAGGUUGACUAGAAGUAGCAAGAGCCAGAUAUUCUUGUAUUGUUUCUCAUCUUAAGCAGAAACUUUCACCAUUAAAUAUGAUUUCACUGUCAGUUUUUUAUAAGUGCCGUUCAUUAGCUUGAGGAAGUUCUCUUCUAUUCCUAGUUUGUUAAGUGUGUUUAUUAUUUUUAAAAAGUGUUAGAUUUUGUCAAAUGCUUUUUCUUUGUUUGUUUUGUUUUGUUUUGAGACAAGUUUUCAUGCUGUCGCCCCGGCUGGAGUGCAGUGGUACAAUCUUGGCUCAUUUCAACCUCUGCUUCCCAGGUUCAAGUAAUUCUCCUGUCUCAGCCUCCCAAGUAACUGGGAUUACAGACACGUGCCACCACACCCGGCUAAUUUUUGUAUUUUUAGUAGAGAUGGAGUUUCACCAUUUUGGCCAGGCUUGUCUCAAACUCAUGAAUCAAGUGAUCUGCCCGCCUUGGCCUCCCAAAGUGCUGGGAUUACAGGCAUGAGCCACCAUGCCUUCUAUUACAAAGAAAACCAAAUGAGCCAAAAUGCUGCUUGCUAAAUCCAACUGAGUAAUGAUUCCCCAUGAGAGGAUCAGUCAUUUUAACUGGGUGUGAAGAAGACUUCCCCAGUCAGAUGCACCACGAAGACGCUAGAAGGUGUGCAGAGGACAAACACCUUUCCUCCUUCCCAGCUGCCCUUGCGUUGAACCCAUCCCUAGUUUCAUUCGCCACCAUCAAAACUCUGGACUACGCAAAGAACUGGCCAUCCUAUGCAGUACACCUCCUUUCCAUUCCCUUUUAAUGGAGCAGUCUGGCUCCCCCAGGCCAGGGACAAAAGGACCAGGCCAGUGGCUGCUGGACAUCCUACCUGAAGGGAGCAUCACCCUCAUUCUCAGAAACAACCUAACACAGCAGGCAAACCAUCUAUAUAGUGCACUGUGCUCACUGGCAUGGGGACACAGCACAGGAGUCCUUCCAAUCCUGCCCCAGGUGGGGAUGCCCCUCUGGUCUACCUCAUCCCCAAGGAACUGGUGGGACCACUUUUCCCUUGAAGGCCUAGUCUGUCCACUCUGAAACCCACCACCUGAGGGUCUGGUCUCUGCUCACCAUUUCAACAACAGCCUCAUCUAGCCCCUGAUGCAGGCUAACUUGAAAUGCCCUCCUACUGAGGGACUGGCAGUGUCUCAAGUUCCCAGCCUACCCUGUCCCAGGGCAUUUAUAGUAGAGGAGGGGCAAUGCAGGGAGGAUCCUAUCUUGAAUCUCCUCCCUCCUCUCCAGUACCUUGAUUGCCCCUUAGGUAUUCCAAUGUGUCUCUUCCGCGCAUCCCACCCCAACCCCACCGUGUUCCUAAUAGGAGAGCUGCUCUUGGAUUCUAAAAUAUCAUUGUGAGGGGCUGGGUCUUCUUUGUCUGUGCUUUCCCAGAACUAGCAUGAAGACUGUCAAAGAGCAGAUGUUCAAUUCAUGUUUGGUGAAUGACAUAAUUCAGAUGUUUGUCCCUUCUAAAUGUCAUGUUGAGAUAUAAUUCCCAGUGUUGGAGGUAAGGCCUGGUGGGAGGUGUUUGGACCAUCAAGGAGGGUCCCUCAUGGCAUGGUGCUGCCCUGGCCAUAGUGAGCGACUUCCCCUAUCUCUGGUCAUUUGAAAGCAUGUGGCACCUCCCACCCCCGCUCUGCUUGGCUGUCUUUCCUCCCACUGUUGCCACGUGACAUGCCUGCACCACCUUCCCCUCCUGGCAUGAGGAAAAGCUCCCCAAGACCUCCCCAGAAGCAGUUGCUGGUGCCACGCUCAUAGCCUGGUGAACUGUGAGCAAGUCAACCUCUUUUCUUUAGCAAUUACCCAGUCUCAGGUAUGCCUUUAGAGCAACACAAGAACUGCCUAGCACAAGGAACAAAAGAGCCAGUGAGCAAGUGUUCUCCUUUAUGAUGAUUUAAUUUCUCCAACAUUCUUGAAUACACAUAGCAACUGUGAGUAUAUAGCUUUUCAUUUUAUCACAACAAAAGACUUAAAGAAAUAAGAUUUUUAAACGUCAAAGGUUGCCAAUCAAUCGACACUUUUUUCCCACCAUCUUGUGAUCCCAACUGAUGCAGUGUUCAGUUGUUUCACAGUUUAAAGCCAAUCGCUAUUCCAAUGCUAUUUCUUCUUGCACUAGAUCAUAAUCUAGUAAGUAAAAAUUUCCAAUUUGUUUUACAAAAUACAAGAACAUCACUCUUCAAUGUGAUAAACAGCAAUAAUUGUGUGAGGCACCUAAUUCAUGAACUUAGAUUCUGAAUCAAAGUCAAUCUCUUUCAAAGGAACACGCGGUAGACACAGAAGAGAAAGAGGAAUCUAUAAGUGGCUUGCAAAUAACCAGAACAAAAGAAAGACACGUCUUGGGCUCCCCACCUCACCCCCAAAUACUGAGAUGGUGGACAGGCUUUUCAAUCUCUUAGUGAGGAUUGCCUGAGACUUCACUAGGGCUGAAAGGACCUGCUAGCCCUGGCCCUGGCGCUAUCCCUGGCUACCGCUCUGGCUCUGGCUUGCUCUUCCUCCUCUCUCAGAGCCUCCUCAUACCGGGACUUGUAGGUACUGGCAACGGUAUCAUUGAGCUUGGCCACAAACUCCAGGACUUUCAUUUUGCUGGUUUCAGCACGGGCCCUGGGACCCCACAGGAACUCGUAGCGUGGAGGAUCGCUGCUGGGCACCUGCUGGUACUCCAGGUACCCCUCUCGCACCAAAUCUUUGGUGACAAGCUCCUGGGGCUCCCCAUAGAUGAAGUGCUUCCUACCCUUAUACAUCCCCAAUGCAUUCAGGCAUUCCCACAUCUCUUCCUCAGUGGCACGGUUGCCAUGCAUGAAGAUGGUGCUCAGGAGAACCAUCAGGAGCCCGCUCAGGGGAAAGCCCCCGCCAUCGCUCAAGCUUCCUUGAUUGGGAAAGUCCAGCUUGCCAACAAGCACAUAGGACUGACGGCUGGGGUCCAUUUCCUUCAGGUAGAGGCCAAAGACCACCUCUACGUUCUCAGUGCUUCUCCGGAGGAUCUCAGGGAAGUGCUGCUUGUACUUUCUGUUGAUAACCUUCAGCAUGGCUUCCCUCGUAAUGGGCUCUUUCCUUAUAUACUUGUUGAGGAGGAACUGCACCAAUUCGCCCGUCUUCGUGUUCAGAAGAUCUCUUCCUGUGCUCUCAGAGGAGGACGGGCCAUGGAAGGAGUUGGGACUUUCCCCCUUUUGGCCCUUGGCACCUUCAUCAGAACUUGUGAGUGAAACAGCUGAAGCAGGAGAGCUGGGGUAGCUGGCUCUCUGGGACUCCUGAGGAAUGCCUGCAUUGGGGAAGCUCUGGGGAGGACUCUGGCAUGCAGGAGAGGAGGAGGAUGGCAGCUUUUCCUUCUCUGCUGCGGUGGCUUGAGCACCCCCGAGACAUUGGUCUUCACCUCGAGCCUGGCGGCGUUUCUCACGGGCACGGCGCUUACUCGCCUGACCGCGAGGCAUGAUGACUGUGCUUAGGGGCAGCAGGCAAGAGGGUGCAGGAGGUGGGCACCUGGAGCAGGAGGAACAGAGUGUGUGAGCCCCUCAGUGGGGAGAUAUCACCUUAAGGAGGCCUCCAUGCAGGUGUCCUUGAGGACCCUGCUCCAUAGCCCCACCAGGCUCCUGUUCUCCAGGGCAGCCUGUCCCCUGGGGACCCUGGGGAGGAAGUUACAGUGCUCCUUGCCCUGCAGCCUGCCAGCCCUGCCUGAGACCAAGAUCCUUACUUCUCUGUUUCCUCUGAGGGGAAACUGAGGCCAUCUGGGCUUGACAUCCCUGUCUGGGGCCUCAAACCUCUGACAUAGGGAGGGAUCCUGAGGUCCUCUUACUAAUUUGGGGUCGGUGGCUCCACGCUCCUCAGGGUCCUCACUAUCUGAGGCCCUUCCCUUCAGGUCAAGGCCCUCACCUUCCUGAGACCUCACCCCCACCCCAAGGGGAAAGAAAGCAUGAGUCCCCUCCAGCCACCCCUGUUCAUGGCCUUUCUGGACUGGUAGCAGGGUCUGGACUCUCAGAGCCUCUGAUGUUCUGGGUUCGGUGGCCCUGUUAGUCCUCACUUAGGCAGAAUGUGGGACAUGUCGCUCAGCCCACCAGAUUCCUCCAGCCUCAGCCCCAGGCCCUGUCCACUCUGAGCCCCCAUAGGCUAGAAGUGAGGGGCCCUCUAUCCGACUCCCUCUCCUGAGGUUUCCCAGGCCUGAGAGGGAAGCCAGCCUUUGUGGUGCCCCCGGAUCCAGGUGAGUGCUCUCCUCAGCUCUCACUCAGAGUCUUAACCCUGAUUCCCAUCAUUACCUGGAAAACACUCCUGUCUUAACCUGAGACUUAUUACCUCAUACCAGCCCCUCCAUUCUGAAAUACCCCUAGGAAGUAGUGACGGUCACCUCAGCUGGCCACAAAUGCUCAUCAUGUCCCAAGACUGGGAGCAGUGGAGAUUUUCUGUGUUGGCCCCACAGUUACAAAUGGGUGGUCCCCUUGGUCCUCAGGGUCUUCACCUUGACUCCUGGCAAGAGCUUAACAACCUCCAGCAGCUGUCUUGAGGCUGUCCCUUUUACCCAGGCUCUUCACCUCCCUGAGAUGCCCUGGGAGGAAAUGCCACUCACCAUGCCAACGUGCCUGGGUCUCCCAGAGGUGACAGUAGGGGUGGUGCUCUAUGUGGCCUACUUCUCCCUGGGAAGGGCUCCCUCUUCUCAUUCAGUGUUCUCCCCUUGACUCCCACCAGGGACUAAGUCCUCCUUCCCACCCCACCAUGAAUGGGGCCUCGCCCAUUGGUGCAAAAGAGCCACUUCUCUGAAACGCCACCCUGACCCCUUCAGGACACGAGGGGUCACCAAAUGCUAAUGGCUCUGCCCAUGGUUUCCCAGGGCGCACAGCAGAGCUGAGACUCUAUGUGGUCUCCUGUGUUUUGGAAUGGCCAUUUUCCUCCCUCCUCACGCAGGGUUUUUUUUACCUUCACUCCCCACAGAGCCUGGGACUCCUUUCUCCGCUGACCUGGGGCAGCCAGUCUUGCAACCAAAGCCCUCUGCUGAAACGCUCCGUGCAGCCCUGUCUACUGAGGGCUCAGGAUCUUCACCUUGCUACUUGACCAGUCCUGGGACUCCAUCCUCAGCUCACUACAGGCAACACCCUUCAAAGCAAGAUCCUUGCUUCAAUGGGACCUCAGAUUUGGACAUUCAGGGUAAGCCACAUCCUCUCAAGGCUGUUUAGGGCCUUCAAGGCGUGACAGCAGGGGUGGGACUAUAGGGGACCCCACUGCUCUGCCUCAGGGUUCUGAACCUGGCUCAGGGUGGGACCUCCAACUCUUUGGGACGCGACUCAGGUCGCUCCACUGACCUGAGUCAGCCAGGCCCAGGCCCAAGCUCUCACGUCCCAAAGUUGCUAGAGGGAAAAGUCACGGCAUGCCCCGUCUGGCUAUGCCUGCACGGGGUCUCCCAGAGCUGACAACAGGGCAGCAGAAACCUGGCUCUCUGGCUCUCCCUGGCUCUCUUGCUUUUUCCUUUUUUUUUUUUUUCUUUGUGACAGACACGGGGUCUCACUCUGUCGCCACGCUCAUGGCGUGACCAUGGCUCACUGCAGCUUCGACCUGCUGGGCUCAAGCGAUCCUCCUGCCUCAGCCUCCCGAGUCGCUGGGGCCACAGGCGCCGGCCACCAUGUCCCGCUAGUUUUUGUUCUUUUCUUUCUUGGAGAGAGAGGGUCUCGCUUUGUUACUCAGACUGGUCUGGAACUGCUGGGCUCGGGUAAUCCUCCCGCCUCAGCCUCCCAAAGCACUGGGAUCACAGGUGUGAGCUACCAUGCCCGCCUCGUGGGCCUCCCAUGUUUGGGAGAGGUCUCCUCAUCAGCAUCAGGGACCUCAUUUCGAUUAGGGCCUAGGAGUCCAUCCCUCUGCAGAAUCGAAGCCUCACCCUCACACCAAACCCUCCCCUCCCUGGUGCCCUCUCAGAAGUCAGUGCCACAGCCUGACUGGAGCCUCCCGCGGCUGAGGGAGGUGGGUACCCGGGGGCGGGGGUUGGGGGACACAGGGUGGUCGCCUUGGCUGCGUGUGGUGGGCCUUUCAGUCCACGAUCAGGGUCCUUACCUUGAUACCCAACCAGUCUUGGGGUUCUGGUAGCCUGAGGUGGCGUCCCUCAGACGAAGAUCCUCACUUCCGGCAGCUUCCCAGGCGGGCGGAUGUCGGAGUGAGCCACAUCCAAUCAAGUCCCUGCUGGGUCUCCCAGGGCUGAAAGCGGGGCGGGGCUCUGCUCGGGCCCCCUUUUUGCAUAGAAGUCCUCUCCAGUGUACUCAGUGUCCUCUCCGGGACUCCAAUGAGUGUCCAGUUCUCCUCCCUCAGCUGAACUGUGCUUUUGCCUUUAGACAGAGUCACUACCCUCGUUAGAGCAUCUAAGCAGAAAAAAAGGGGUCCUCAGCUGAGGUCUUUGCUAUGGCUGACAAGAUUAAGCAUUUUUUUAUUUUUGUUUUUAUUUUUUGCUGAUAACCAUUCCCUUAUGUCACUCUCGGUCCUCACCUUGAUUCGAGUCAGUUUCUGGGGCUCCACUAUGCACAGCUGGGGCUUCCCCCACCAGACCAAGAUUCUCCCUUCCCUGAGACCCUCCAGGCCGAAAUGACAGUCACCUCAACCUGACAGCUCUUCCUGAGCUUCCCAAGUCACAGGAGAGGCUUUUGGUUUUGGACCAUGAGAAUGGCUUACAUAUUCAAAAGGUUGGAUUUGGGAAGCAAUGCUAAGCAGUGGAAUGGACAUCGACAUAGAGAGAUCAGCUCCACACUUAUACUCUGCCACUCAACUUCCCCAUGUGACUUGAGGAUCACUCUAACUCCAAAACAUAGCAAGCUCGCGGAACAUCAGGGUUCAUGCAAAGUAUUCCAAGGAGCCCCUUGAAGCAACAGAAUGGUCUGUCUCCUUUCAUACCACUAACGUGAACACAAAUAUAGAAUAGCGGUUGAUUUCCAAAGAGUUGUUGUUGCAAGCGUAGCAGAAGUGAGGCUACUGUGACCAAAUGGGCUACAGAAAGGCUGCAAAGACAGAACUAGAGACGAUGAAGAGACUCAGAAUUUUAGCGAUAGACAAGACCUUAGCACUGUCUUCUCAGUCUAGAGAUGAAAACAAGAGUCUAGACAAGUGAAAUUGAUAGCCAGAGUGAUAUAGCUAGAGGCAGAGUUGGACUGUCAAGCUAGAAAUCUUGGUUCUUUAAGCUAUACUAUCUGUCUUGCUUUUCAAACUGUUCAAUGUAAUUAUGGACUACCAGCAAAGCAGGUUUGUACAGUACAGACGAGCACGUAGCAAGCAGAAUUGAAGUUUCAUUCUGUCUUGGUCCCAACUCCUAAAGCUCCAUAGACAGUGGGCACUUCUUCAUAUCAAGAGACAAGAAUCUUUUCAUAUGUGCCAUGUGAAAAUGAGAGCCAACUGUUUGUAUCUCAUCUGGAUAGAGAAAACCUAAAUUAAAAUUGUCUUAGAAUUUUAAUGUGUAAGGGCACAUUUGUAAAAUUUGAAUUUAUUUGAAAGUGGGUUAAUAUGUUUGCAACCUGUCAAAAUUGCCCUCUUUGAGUGAAAAAAAACUCGAUUCAGGGUUUCUAAAGUAAGGGAAUCAAAUCUUUUUAGAGCCAACUAAACUCACUUAGAAAAAGAAAAAUAUUUCAGCCAAGUCUUUUUCUGCACAUGGCUCUUUCAUAAAUACUCUUCUUAAGUAGAAACAAGUCUGUAGCUGUUUUUCAAUCAGUUCUUAAAGUUAAGACCCCUGUGACUUUCUUAUACAUAUUCAGACAAAAAAUACGUGUUACUGAAAUUUUAUUCACUUCCUCCCACAAACGUUAGGAGAAGCAUACAUUAAAUAUAAACAUGUUCCCAUUUCUACUCAGAUACAAUCCCUUCUUUCUUAUAGUGAAACUACUGAUUCAGUGUAGCAGUCAAAGACAAAUCUAAGUAAAUACAUUUGACUCAAAACCUAUGUAUCAAGAAUAAA